GGAUGAACGCUAGCGGCAGGCCUAAUACAUGCAAGUCGAGGGGUAAGAGUCAGCUUGCUGACUACACGACCGGCGCACGGGUGCGUAACGCGUAUGCAACCUACCUUUAACAGAGGAAUAGCCCCGAGAAAUCGGGAUUAAUACCACAUAACAUUAUGAUAUGGCAUCAUAUUAUAAUUAAAACUCCGGUGGUUAAAGAUGGGCAUGCGUGACAUUAGCUAGUUGGUGAGGUAACUGCUCACCAAGGCUACGAUGUCUAGGGGUUCUGAGAGGAUGAUCCCCCACACUGGUACUGAGACACGGACCAGACUCCUACGGGAGGCAGCAGUAAGGAAUAUUGCGCAAUGGAGGCAACUCUGACGCAGCCAUGCCGCGUGCAGGAUUGAAGGCCUUAUGGGUCGUAAACUGCUUUUAUUUAGGAAUAAACUUUCGUACGUGUACGAAACUGAAGGUACUAAACGAAUAAGCACCGGCUAACUCCGUGCCAGCAGCCGCGGUAAUACGGAGGGUGCAAGCGUUAUCCGGAUUUAUUGGGUUUAAAGGGUGCGCAGGCGGACCAAUUAGUCAGUGGUGAAAUCCCGAGGCUCAACCUCGGAACUGCCAUUGAUACUGUUGGUCUUGAAUACGGUUGAAGUAGGCGGAAUGUAGCAUGUAGCGGUGAAAUGCAUAGAGAUGCUACAGAACGCCGAUCGCGAAGGCAGCUUACUAAACCCGAUAUUGACGCUCAGGCACGAAAGCGUGGGGAGCGAACAGGAUUAGAUACCCUGGUAGUCCACGCCGUAAACUAUGAUCACUCGUUGUUGGCAAUACACAGUCAGUGACCAAGCGAAAGCGAUAAGUGAUCCACCUGGGGAGUACGAUCGCAAGGUUGAAACUCAAAGGAAUUGACGGGGGCCCGCACAAGCGGUGGAGCAUGUGGUUUAAUUCGAUGAUACGCGAGGAACCUUACCUGGGCUCAAAUGUAAGUUGACAGUUUCUGAAAGGGAAUUUUCUUCGGACAAUUUACAAGGUGCUGCAUGGUUGUCGUCAGCUCGUGCCGUGAGGUGUCGGGUUAAGUCCCAUAACGAGCGCAACCCCUACUCUUAGUUGCCAUCAGAUAAUGCUGGGGACUCUAGGAGAACUGCCUACGCAAGUAGAGAGGAAGGUGGGGAUGACGUCAAAUCAGCACGGCCCUUACGUCCAGGGCUACACACGUGCUACAAUGGCCGGUACAGAGGGCAGCCACCUGGUGACAGGGAGCGAAUCUCUAAAGCCGGUCUCAGUUCGGAUCGAAGUCUGCAACCCGACUUCGUGAAGCUGGAAUCGCUAGUAAUCGCGCAUCAGCCAUGGCGCGGUGAAUACGUUCCCGGGCCUUGUACACACCGC
rnacentral:rRNA from 1 species